rnacentral:rRNA from 1 species
GAUGAACGCUGGCGGCAUGCCUAAUACAUGCAAGUCGAACGAAAAGACAAUAAGAUUUUUCUCCUAAGGGUAGCGACGGGCGGACGGGUGACAAAUACAUAACCUACCUAUAAUACUUGGAGAAUAACGUGAAACCAGUGCCACUACUAGAGAAUAUAAUGUACGGGUUAAUGCAAUAGAUAAUGGAAGCUUGUGUGUUUGAUAUAGACGGUGUCGGAUUAGCUUGGUGGCGGGGUAAUGGCCCACCAAGGCAACGAACCGUAGCUGAUCUGAGAGGGUGAUCGGCCACACUGGAACUGAGACACGGUCCAGACUCCUACGGGAGGCAGCAGUAGGGAAUAUUGCGCAAUGGGCGCAAGCCUGAUCCAGCCAUACCGCGUGAGUGAUGAAGGCCUUCGGAUUGUAAAACCCUUUUAUUAGGGAAGAAAAGAAGUGUGAUAAUCCCCCGCUGUUCUGACGGUACCCAAUGAAAAAGCACCGGCUAACUACGUG